GGAAGUUCUUCGUCUUGCUGAGCUGGAAUUUCUAGUGCUUUGUUUAUGGCCUUUGCUCCUUGUCCUGUCACUGGGGACUGCUGGAAAGAGUCUGGGACCACCCUCAUGGCACCCACCUCUGAGACUCUUAUAUGACUUAAUGAGAUCCCCUUUCAACUUAAUAAUAUGUAUUUGGCAUUCUCCUAUGUGAAGCCAAAAAUAAUUAAGUGCCUUUAGUUCAGUCUUAACUAGUUUUGUGAGGUCUUCUUUCCCAUGGUGAUCCUUUGUUCUGCUCUGGACAGUCUCUCCUCUGUGAUGCCAAACAAUCUGUAUUAAUUGGGCUUUCUGUGAUGCCAGAUAAUCCUUAUAAAUGAGGGCUAUGAGCACCCUGGCUGACAGGAGUGGAUAAAAGUCCUCCACCAACAGGUGUGAUGCUUGGUCCUUUGGACCUUUUGGCCAAAAAAGGUGACAUGGCAUGUUCUAGCAGAAUGUGGAGCAGAGGGAGAGGGGUCAUAGAGGUCCUUACACAGAAGGGGUUUAGUGCAGACAGACGUGGGCUUGCUUAGGACAUAGUUAAUAAGAGAGUCAGCACUUAUAUUCUGCUUUUUUCUCUCCUGUGUUCUAUUGUUUCCUUUUUCCUUCAAGUCUUCUUUUCCAUUACAGGUGCUACGUGGGGUGCAGAAAAACAUGCUUGGCAACAGCUCCUGGCUUGGAGAGAGUAAACGUGUCUGAAACUGUCCAAAUCUGUCUGCAUAGCAGGGGGAGAAUGGAAGUGAAGUUUUCUCCUUCAACAGAGCCCCUACAUGGUGCAGUGUAUCCCUCUCAGGAACUGUCCCAUGAGGAAUCUAGGCAUGAAAACUUGACUUUUAGGGAACAGAGGCAUCUCAGCGAGCACAAAUUGAGGAAAUACAUCCAUUUCUUUAGCUGUCUGUUAUCCACACAACUUCAUACUCACUAGUAGUCAAAUCUGAAUCCACAGUCCAAAAGCACAUCCCUGUGCCAUUCCCUAGCGUGGGACAGGGCACAGACUCUGUCUAGGGCCAAAGACUUAUUUUAUUCCCAAGAUUCACUCCUUCCUAUAUAAACGUCUCUAAACUCAUAUGUUCCUUUUCACUGGUUAAGUGGCAACUCUUUUCACUUCUCCUAAGGAUAGCUCACAAAAUAAAAGCACACACAGACUUACUUUAAGAGGAAGGAUCAUCUCCUUUUUCUCUCUGUCUCCAUCUCUAAGAAAUUUUUUCUCUCCCACCCACUCAGAAGGAAUUGACAUGUCAUGCAUUUCUGUGUAAGAGUGUAAUAUACCUGAGGGAGAAUAAAAGCCAGGAAAGAAAACAAAAACACAACAAAACCCCUCACAAAAUGUCCUGGUAUCAGGACUUACUUUAUGCUAAGUAACUCUUCUUCUUCUUCUUGAGCUACAGCCUGUUACAUUCAUGUGACUGUCUCAGCUUCCCAUUCUUCUAGGACAUGCUCAUGGAUCUAAAGGUAAUAGAUGUUUUUCACUACAGUAACAAACUUCAGUGCUUGAUUCAUAGUGUAACUUGUGAAAUACUUCGUUUUGGUGCAAGUUAUUAGUGACGGUCACCUGCAGGUCCUUAGUUAUUUUUGUAUCUGGUCUUCAGCAACCCCCC
rnacentral:lncRNA from 12 species